rnacentral:misc_RNA from 1 species
GAUGAAGAACGCAGCGAAAUGCGAUAAGUAAUGUGAAUUGCAGAAUUCAGUGAAUCAUCGAAUCUUUGAACGCACAUUGCGCCCGCCAGUAUUCUGGCGGGCAUGCCUGUUCGAGCGUCAUUACAACCCUCAGGCCCCCGGGCCUGGCGUUGGGGAUCGGCGGAAGCCCCCUGCGGGCACAACGCCGUCCCCCAAAUACAGUGGCGGUCCCGCCGCAGCUUCCAUUGCGUAGUAGCUAACACCUCGCAACUGGAGAGCGGCGCGGCCACGCCGUAAAACACCCAACUUCUGAAUGUUGACCUCGAAUCAGGUAGGAAUACCCGCAGAACUUAAGCAUAUCAAUAAGCGGAGGA